rnacentral:misc_RNA from 1 species
AAUACAGAAUCCAUAAUUGGUAUAUUUUUCAUAUCCUUGAAUCGCAAUAACCGUUUCCUGAAAAUCAUGACAGAUGACAAGUUAGCGAGUCGUGUUAGCAAGACGAGCUCUUGAUGAUAAUUGAUCAGCUCGGACGUGACAGCCGUGACUCUGACACCUGUGCUUCCGAAAAGAAAUCACGCGCUAUCAAAAAGAUAGAUCCGAGUAUUGUAUACCACAACGAACUGACCGUUCGUCUAUGCUGUUCAACUUGCCGUGUCUAGAACCAGACAGGGGAGCCGCGUCGAAGCUUGUUAAGGAGCUGGCCCGACGUCGUCCCGCCGCUAUUCGUGUUUAAGCAUCAUCGACUAUUAUGAACCGCCCGGCUUACUCCUUGAAAGGCGAGAUGAAAACCGCAUCCUCCUGUUUCAUCCAAGAAACGGUAAACUUCGAAGAUCUGGCUUUUACAAUUUUUACAAAUUCUGUCGGAUAUUUAACAAUGUUCACGCGCGUCCCUGGGUAAUACUCGAUAAUUUACGCGAUAAUUUAGAAAACUUUUCAUCCGAAAAUUCACAUUCUUCUUUUCGAGGUUGCUAUCGAUCGCCUCUCGUCUUUUUCGCAGGUACUCCGUUUUGAAAUUACACCAUGACGGAAGAUUUAGAAAUAUUAUGAUUUUUAAAGGACGAAACUUUGAUUCUUGAAAGAAACAUCGGCGCUAAUGGCAAAUAGUAAAUGUCUUGAUAACGUUAGCACUUGAAAAUUUGUCAUCGGUAGCGCGCGUGUAUCUAAACGCGUAUAUUGAGCAU